rnacentral:rRNA from 1 species
ACUCAAAUGAAUAGACGGGGGCCCGCACAAGCGGCGGAGCAUGUUGCUUAAUUCGACGCAACGCGAAGAACCUUACCAAGGUUUGACAUCACCGGAAAACUCGCAGAGAUGCGGGGUCCUUUUGGGCCGGUGACAGGUGGUGCAUGGCUGUCGUCAGCUCGUGUCGUGAGAUGUUGGGUUAAGUCCCGCAACGAGCGCAACCCUCGUUCCAUGUUGCCAGCAACACUCUUCGGAGUGGUUGGGGACUCAUGGGAGACUGCCGGGGUCAACUCGGAGGAAGGUGGGGAUGACGUCAAGUCAUCAUGCCCCUUAUGUCUUGGGCUGCAAACAUGCUACAAUGGCCGGUACAGAGGGCUGCGAAACCGUGAGGUGGAGCGAAUCCCUAAAAGCCGGUCUCAGUUCGGAUUGGGGUCUGCAACUCGACCCCAUGAAGUCGGAGUCGCUAGUAAUCGCAGAUCAGCAACGCUGCGGUGAAUACGUUCCCGGGCCUUGUACACACCGCCCGU